GUGAGGAAUAUUGGUCAAUGGACGAGAGUCUGAACCAGCCAAGUAGCGUGAAGGAUGACUGCCCUAUGGGUUGUAAACUUCUUUUAUAUGGGAAUAAAGUGAGCCACGUGUGGCUUUUUGUAUGUACCAUACGANAUAAGGAUCGGCUAACUCCGUGCCAGCAGCCGCGGUAAUACGGAGGAUCCGAGCGUUAUCCGGAUUUAUUGGGUUUAAAGGGAGCGUAGGCGGACUAUUAAGUCAGCUGUGAAAGUUUGCGGCUCAACCGUAAAAUUGCAGUUGAUACUGGUCGUCUUGAGUGCAGUAGAGGUAGGCGGAAUUCGUGGUGUAGCGGUGAAAUGCUUAGAUAUCACGAAGAACUCCGAUUGCGAAGGCAGCUUACUGGACUGUAACUGACGCUGAUGCUCGAAAGUGUGGGUAUCAAACAGGAUUAGAUACCCUGGUAGUCCACACAGUAAACGAUGAAUACUCGCUGUUUGCGAUAUACAGCAAGCGGCCAAGCGAAAGCAUUAAGUAUUCCACCUGGGGAGUACGCCGGCAACGGUGAAACUCAAAGGAAUUGACGGGGGCCCGCACAAGCGGAGGAACAUGUGGUUUAAUUCGAUGAUACGCGAGGAACCUUACCCGGGCUUAAAUUGCAAAUGAAUAUAGUGGAAACAUUAUAGCCGCAAGGCAUUUGUGAAGGUGCUGCAUGGUUGUCGUCAGCUCGUGCCGUGAGGUGUCGGCUUAAGUGCCAUAACAAGCGCAACCCUUAUCAUUAGUUACUAACAGGUCAUGCUGAGGACUCUAGUGAGACUGCCGUCGUAAGAUGUGAGGAAGGUGG
rnacentral:rRNA from 1 species